CUUACAUCUCUUCGGAGCAGUUUUACGAGGUGCUGCAUGGUUGUCGUCAGCUCGUGCCGUGAGGUGUCGGGUUAAGUCCCAUAACGAGCGCAACCCUACCUUAGUUGCCAUCAGGUUAAGCUGGGGACUCUAAAGGAACUGCCUACGCAAGUAGUGAGGAAGGCGGGGAUGACGUCAAAUCAGCACGGCCCUUACGUCCAGGGCUACACACGUGCUACAAUGGCCGAUACAGAGGGCAGCUACCUGGUGACAGGAUGCAAAUCUCCAAAGUCGGUCUCAGUUCGGAUUGGAGUCUGCAACUCGACUCCAUGAAGUUGGAAUCGCUAGUAAUCGCAGAUCAGCCAAGCUGCGGUGAAUACGUUCCCGGGCCUU
rnacentral:rRNA from 1 species